UACGGAGGGUGCAAGCGUUAUCCGGAUUCACUGGGUUUAAAGGGAGCGUAGGUGGGCUGGUAAGUCAGUGGUGAAAUCUCCGGGCUUAACCCCGGAACUGCCGUUGAUACUAUCAGUCUUGAAUAUUGUGGAGGUAAGCGGAAUAUGUCAUGUAGCGGUGAAAUGCUUAGAUAUGACAUAGAACACCGAUAGCGAAGGCAGCUUGCUACACAAUGAUUGACACUGAGGCUCGAAAGCGUGGGGAUCAAACAGG
rnacentral:rRNA from 1 species